rnacentral:rRNA from 1 species
AACGAACGCUGGCGGCAGGCCUAACACAUGCAAGUCGAGCGAGGACUUCGGUCCUAGCGGCGGACGGGUGAGUAUCGCGUGGGAACGUGCCCUUUGCUACGGAAUAGCCCCGGGAAACUGGGAGUAAUACGGUAUGUGCCCGAGAGGGGAAAGACUUAUCGGCAAAGGAUCGGCCCGCGUUGGAUUAGGUAGUUGGUGGGGUAAUGGCCUACCAAGCCGACGAUCCAUAGCUGGUUUGAGAGGAUGAUCAGCCACACUGGGACUGAGACACGGCCCAGACUCCUACGGGAGGCAGCAGUGGGGAAUCUUAGACAAUGGGGGAAACCCUGAUCUAGCCAUGCCGCGUGAGCGAUGAAGGCCUUAGGGUUGUAAAGCUCUUUCAGUGGGGAAGAUAAUGACGGUACCCACAGAAGAAGCCCCGGCUAACUCCGUGCCAGCCGCCGCCGUAAAAC